rnacentral:tRNA from 1 species
GAGGGUAUAGCUCAAGUGGUAGAGCAUGUGCUUAGCAUGCACAAGGUUCUGGGUUCAAUCCCCAGUACCUCCA